rnacentral:lncRNA from 1 species
UGAAAACGUUGAAUCUUUGCAUGCGAUGCGUAUUUGACCGGGACCACGCAAUGGAAGAAGCUGGAAAAGAGAGGAAAUUUCCAAGAAAGUUCUCAACUUUUUGUGUUGUGAUUUUUGAGUUUUGAAACGAAGUAAUCAAGAAGGGAAAAUGAAAAGAAAUGGUCAAGUGGGAAUAUUAACAUUAAAAAAACAGUUACUACAAUUUUCCUUUUUUUUUGUUUAAAAAUUCAAAUUGGGAGGUAUUUUGGGUUUCAAAGAUAGGUUUUACAUCAACAUUUAGGGUUUUAUUUUCGAAAUUAUAAACCAAUUUCUAUUAUUAUUUGUUUUUUUUCAUUUAUUAUUUCUUUCAUUUAAUUCAUAGCUACUUCAUUAACAAAUAGCGGGCAAAUUUAUGAAUUCCUUUAUUAACACUAAGCUUCAGUUAGUUCCACUAGGGGUGGGCGUUCGAUUCGGGUUGAUCCGUAACGAACCGAAUCUGUAUUUUUAUUCGGCUUUCGGUUUUGUUGGGGUUAACCCAAAAAUCCAAACGGAUUACAUCCUCUAAACCGAACGGUUUCGAAAUUCAGUUUAGGUUAACCUGAACAGAAUUGAGAAACCGAUCGGGUUAAACGCAUGAAAAUAGGAGAAAAUAAGCAGAGCAGAGAGCACAUGCACCAGCAUGAAGACAGAAGUCAAAACAAUUUUACAAAGACAAACAAAGCCCCAAACUCGAUCAGUUGAUCCCCAAUCCCAAAUUCAAAUCCUAAUAGUCGUCAAUCAUCCUCCGCGCCGUACCACGUCUCGCCGUUGUAGCCCACGAUUUCGAUCCCCAAAUUCACAAUUUCACAAAACAAAAAACAAACCCUAACAACCACAUCCUCUCUCGUCCGAUUAUGCCACUUGGUUCGGCAGUCCCUCCACACCGCUCCACGUCAGCUCAACUCGCUGUUGCAGCCAACAACUUCAGCUCACAACUCUCUCUCUCUCUCUCUCUCUCUCGUAGCCAACGAUUUCAGUUCAAGACUCUCUCUCUCAAAUCGUCGCCGCAGCCCACGACUUUGAUUCGGCCACUACUUCAGCUCCUCCUCACAGCUCACUGUCAGCUCUUCAUGCCUUCAUGGUCAAUAAGCUCUUCAUAGCUUGUGUACAUACUCUGUAAUAUUUUCUUUAUUGUUGUAAUUUGUAUUUGAAUAUUAUGAAUUUGGUGUUUUGGAAACUCGAAUAUUUUAGAUUUGUUUAUGUUUUCAUCCUGGCGAAUUGAAAAUAGGCAAUCAUGGGUACGGUGCAGCAGGCUGAUUGGCUAUUGGAAGUUGAUGGAUCAUGAGUUGGUAUAUGGCAAAAAAGUCCGGGCCAGCACGACCCACUCCUACGGAUUUUGUAUCGGACUUCACACAUGAGGUGCUGGAGAAAGGCUUAGGAAAAAAAGCAUAGGGCAGGCCCAAG